AGUAUUUACUAAAAUCUAAGACAUUGCAGGUAAUCGUACAAUGUUUUGUAAAUCUGUGUGCAAGUGAGCAUUUUGUUUUCAUUCAGUAUUUCAAAAUAUUCUGAUUUGUGUAUCACGACACAAACUUGAAAACUUUAAAGAUUGUGUUGUUACUCACCAAAACGGUUUUGUGGUUAGACUUGGAUUAAUUUAUGGCAGGAAUUGAAAGACAUUAAGACUUGUUUCAUAAAAAAAAAAGGUGGGGAAAUUUGAAUUUUGUUUUUCUACCAACUAUUCAUAAAGAAAAAAGAAAUGUUAUUGUUCUGUCCAACAUGUGCAAAUAUAUUAGUAGUUGAGGAGGGUCCUCAGUGCUAUAGGUUUGCCUGCAGUACCUGCCCUUAUGUACACAAUGUGAAACAACGUAUCACUAACAGAAAAUAUCCUAAGUUAAAAGAAGUAGACGAUGUAUUAGGUGGAGCUGCUGCUUGGGAAAAUGUGGACUCCACUGAAGAAUCCUGUCCUAAGUGUAGCCAUAUCCGUGCUUUUUUCAUGCAGAUACAGACUCGUUCAGCUGAUGAACCCAUGACGACUUUUUAUAAAUGUUGUAAUCCUCAAUGUGGAUAUCAGUGGCGGGAAUAACAGCUUCUAAA